rnacentral:misc_RNA from 1 species
AUCUCUCAGGCGAAUUUUCCAGUGGAUUUAUUUUUGUGGUUUUCCUCUGGAUUGUUUACCAUAUUCGAGAUAAAUCUUAAGUAAACUUUUAUACAUGCAAAGCGAACUGACAAUGGCAUCUUCCGACCUUCGUAAAACUAUUGAUCAGUGGUUAGAAUGGGACCAAUGCCGGAAAACCCGAGCUGAAAUUGAGGCUCUUGACCAGGCUGGUGACUGGAAAAAAUUAAAUGAGCUGUUACUUACGCGGCUUGCAUUCGGUACUGCGGGUCUACGUGGUAAAAUGAGAGCUGGUUUUAAUGGCAUGAAUGAUCUUGUCAUAGCACAAACAGCUCAAGGUCUAUCUACUUAUAUGGCGGAACAAUUUAGUGAUAACGACCGCAAAAUAGGCGGAAUUGUUUUUGGCUAUGAUGGACGUCAUAAUAGCAAACGAUUUGCCGAGCUAUCCGCAAACAUUUUUAUACGCGCCGGCUUUAAAGUUUAUCUCUAUAGGCGUCUGGUAGCCACACCUUUAGUACCAUAUACAAUACGUCAUUUCAACUGUUUAGGUGGCGUGAUGGUGACUGCAUCUCAUAAUCCAAAAGAUGAUAAUGGCUACAAAGUAUACUGGAAUAACGGAGCCCAAAUCAUUACUCCACACGACAAGAAUAUACAAAAAACUAUACUUAGUAAUCUUGUACCAAGGGAAGGUACUUGGGAUACAGCCAAUCUGUAUGAGCAUGAAUUACUUAUGGACCCAAAAGAGGCUAUUGUUGAUUAUGUCUAUAAAUUACGUGCCACUGUACCACAAGCGGUAAUUGAUGUAAACAGUCAAAGCAAUUUGCGUUUAGUUUAUAGCGCAAUGCACGGCGUAGGCUAUCCUUUCAUAAAUGACACCUUCGCAGCGAUUAAAUUGAAACCAGUUAUUGCUGUAGAAGAACAAAGGGAUGCUGAUCCAGAGUUUCCAACUGUAGUAUUUCCAAAUCCAGAAGAAGGGAAAAGCGCUCUAGAAUUGUCGAUAAAGAAAGCUGACAGCACUAGUUGCACGAUCAUACUCGCUAAUGAUCCAGACGCUGAUCGUUUGGCUUUGGCUACCAAAAAUACAAACACCGGUAAAUGGAAGGUUUAUAGUGGCAAUGAAAUCGGUGCAUUACUAGGUUGGUGGGCAAUUCAUCUCUAUCAGCAAUCAAAUUCAGAGGCUAGUCUCUCCAACUGCUACAUGCUUGCAAGCACUGUUAGCUCUAAAAUACUGAAAGCAUUUGCACAAAAGCAUGGUUUUCAUUUCAUUGAGACUUUAACUGGUUUUAAAUGGAUGGGUAAUGAAUCUGAUGAAUUGAUGAAAAAUGGCAAGACCGUAUUAUUUGCUUUCGAAGAGGCAAUAGGAUUUAUGUUUUCUACAAAUGUCUUGGACAAGGAUGGUGUAAGCGCAGCGUGUCACCUGGCCUCAAUGGCCUGCUACCUAGAAGCGAAAGAGAAGAUUACAUUUGAUGAAAAAUUGGAAAAUAUAUACAAAGAAUAUGGAUUCCAUUAUAAUAUUUCAUCUUACUAUUUUUGUUAUGAACCACCAGUAAUUAAAAAGAUUUUCGAACAUUUGCGUAAUUUCAAAGGCGAACCAAAAACUUAUCCGUUUUCAAUACUUGACGGAAAGUAUAAGAUUAAGCAUAUACGCGAUUUAACUAACGGCGUUGAUACCUCACAACCUAAUGGUAAGGCCAUUUUGCCGGUUAGUGCGAGCAGCCAAAUGAUUACUUUCACAUUCGAGAAUGGAUUGGUGAUAACAUUGCGUACCAGCGGUACGGAACCAAAAAUUAAAUACUAUGCCGAGAUGUGUGCACAACCAGAUCAAAGGGAUUUUGAUGGGCUAAUAAAUACCACAAAUGAGAUGGUUUCAGCAAUUGUACACGAAUUUUUGCAGCCAAAUGAUAAUAACCUAACACCAAAAGCUGAUUAAACGCUUGUGGGAAGGAAAUGAAAGCUCAACUAAUACAUCUUGAAAGUAUUGAUACUUAACAUUUACACUCAAGCCCAUAGAUAUUGCUUAUUGGGCGCACAAAACCAAAUGGCUGUUCGGACUUUCUCCGUUUUCACUUCAUCAAUUGUGUUAUUAUGAAACGUUAAAACAUUCCGAAUAGGCAGACAAAUUAAAUACAUGUCGUUACCUUAAUAUAGAAAGACCCUAUCUCACGUAGUCGUUGAUUGACUCUGAUGCAUUUCAUCGUUUUAUGCAAUACAAAAUUUUAGUUAGCUACGUUUUUUUAAGGUAACGAUAUGUGCUAUUCGAUUAGCCGGAAUCUCUUUGAAGAGGUCAUAUAAUUUUAUAUUUUUCUAAUAUUUAUCAGUGUUGCUUAAAAUUUAAUUUAUAUAUGCGUUUUUAUACGACGUAGCUUUGCGGAUUUUGCUUUUGUUUUUUGUCAUAGACAAAGGACCAUAGAAACAUAUAUGUACAUAUAGCA